rnacentral:tRNA from 1 species
CGGGUAUAGCUCAGUGGUAGAGCCUCGGCUUCCCAAGCCGGUUACGGGAGUUCGAUUCUCCUUACCC